rnacentral:lncRNA from 1 species
AUGGCUUCGAGGUUACUUUGAGGAGCUGGGGUGCCGGCUGUGCGGGCCCUGAGGGCCCAGGGUCCCUGAGGGGUGGUUGAAGUGCACUCCAAUGCAUCUGGAGGUGAUGUUCUUACUGACAAUGAGCAGGUGACUGGGUUGGAGAGGGAUAUCAUGAUGGCUGCACGGAAGGGACUGGACCCAUAUAAUAUACUACCCCCAAAGGCAGCUUCAGGUACCAAAGAGGACCUUAAUUUAGCCCCCCUCCUUCACCAGCAGUGGGCAGCAUCUGUGAAGAGAAUAGUGCCAUCAUCUGGUUUUGGCUGGACAAAGGUGAGCCCCGGUGAUGCCCUGA